rnacentral:rRNA from 1 species
CUACGGGUGGCUGCAGUGGGGAAUAUUGCACAAUGGGCGCAAGCCUGAUGCAGCCAUGCCGCGUGUAUGAAGAAGGCCUUCGGGUUGUAAAGUACUUUCAGCGGGGAGGAAGGGAGUAAAGUUAAUACCUUUGCUCAUUGACGUUACCCGCAGAAGAAGCACCGGCUAACUCCGUGCCAGCAGCCGCGGUAAUACGGAGGGUGCAAGCGUUAAUCGGAAUUACUGGGCGUAAAGCGCACGCAGGCGGUUUGUUAAGUCAGAUGUGAAAUCCCCGGGCUCAACCUGGGAACUGCAUCUGAUACUGGCAGUCUUGAGUGUCGUAGAGGGGGGUAGAAUUCCAGGUGUAGCGGUGAAAUGCGUAGAGAUCUGGAGGAAUACCGGUGGCGAAGGCGGCCCCCUGGACGAAGACUGACGCUCAGGUGCGAAAGCGUGGGGAGCAAACAGGAUUAGAUACCCGCGUAGUC